rnacentral:lncRNA from 1 species
UGGUCAAUGAAUUAAUUUACCCAUUAGCAUUUGUUGUUCAGUGAGUUGAUAGUGUAAACAUUGGUAACUAUCGCGUUAUCGAUUCAAAAAUAAACCAAGGAAAGUAAUUAGCAGGGGCGUAGCUGCCGUUAGGCACUUUAGGCACGUGCCUACACAUAAUUUUUUCACAAAUAUUUUUUUUCAUUAAAAAAAAUAAUAAACAACGUUAUAUGUACAUGAACUCCAGUGAAGUUGUCACAACGUCUACACUAGUCUCUCGUGCUUAGUGAAUGGAAUAUUGGACAGAAUUGAAUGUUUUUUAUGUGUGUACCUUAUAUAGAAACUAUAAACUAGAACUUUGGUUCAGAUCAUUUCAAUUCUAUCAACAAAAACUUGAAUGAACCUCAACUUAGACACAUGAACUUUUAAUUAGUUGUUAUUAGUUUUCAACUAGCUUUCCACUUUGUCUUCACCCGACUUGCCAGUGUUGGUCGUCCGUUUGGUUGUGCAGGAUGUAUAAAUACGUAGUCACGUCUGGUCAGAAUGGGCGGGAAAUUUAAUAUUAUGCCUAGUUGUAGAGAGAAUGCCACUCUUUGAGGAGUUCAUAGUUGGUCUACUGAAAGACAAAGUUUCUGCUCCUAUCAAAUAAUUCAUCAUUUUCCAAUGCAUGGCAUUUUCAAAUCUUUUUGUUCUAAACUUGCGUAAAUAUUUUACACUGGAUGUUUAAAAAUCAAUCUUUCAAAUAGCUUCCAUGCAGUAGUUUUGACUACUCUCAGAUCUACGUUUAAUGACCAUAAUUAUUCAAAUUCCUAAGCAGGUAGGGAUUUUAC